UACGUAGGGUCCAAGCGUUAUCCGGAAUCACUGGGCGUAAAGCGUGCGUAGGCGGACGUUUAAGUGUGAUGUUAAAUCGUGUGGCUCAACCAUAUCGAUGCAUCGCAUACUGGAUGUCUGAGAAAGGCAGAGGCAAGUGGAAUUGGCAGUGUAGCGGUAAAAUGCGUAGAUAUUGCCAGGAACACCAAUGGCGAAAGGCAGCUUGCUGGGCCUUUUUCGACGCUGAGGCACGAAAGCGUGGGGAGCGAACAAGG
rnacentral:rRNA from 1 species